UUCAGUGUGCUAUUGCCGGGCUCCAUGCACAUUGUGGCAAAGUCAAACUCAUAGGGAUCUGCUUAGAGCAUCUAGACAGUGGGAAUUGUGCCAGUGAUUAGAUGCUGGAGUUCAGCUUUUUGAAGCCAGCCUCGGAAAAAGCGAGUGAAUAUUUGGGAGGUAAGCUGGCAACAGAAAAGGCUAAGGAGAUAGGACUAUAUCUGUAUUAAGUCAAUGCAACAUAGCCUAGCCAAACCGUUCAAUGCAAUCUCAAACCAGGAAGAUCAACUUAAAAAAGAUCAGGUCUGGGAGCUCAAGAGCAGCACCCUUCACUUGAGCAGUGAAGCUGAAAUUGUGCUGAUAGUUAGAUAGCUACGAUCAGUCCCCAGAAACCCUGCGUACGUAUUUCUGAAAGAAAAAGUUGAACUACCAGAACGUGGGCCACCACUACUACCACUGCCUGUGACAGAGAGGCUUUGAUGGAGUUAUGAGUCUAAAUUUCAAAUGUGAGAAUCCGAACCUUGAAUCACAGAAUCCUAAUGAAAGUAUACAAGAAAAAGAAAACCUAUUUCAGAAUGAAGGGACAGAGUGUUUUUAGGCCAUCAUCCACAAGUCAAGAUUCCUGAAAGGAGACCACGCAUAUUAUGCUGCACUGUAAUGUCAAUUUGACCUAAAUUCUAUUUAUGGAGAAUGCUUUAAUGAAGAUAUUGGACAAUGUUUUAUAUCAUCAAAUAUUCUGGCAAAACUAACACUGCAUCUGCAUUUUCUGCUACAAAUCAAUUCACUCGUCAUUAAAAUUAGCAUCUAAUAACUUCUCUCAAAAUAUACCCAAAGUACUAUAAAUACAUAUUGCUCAGUUUGGUUUGCAAUUUUGACUGGCUGACAUUUAAACCUCAUACAAGAAAGAAACCGAGACAUUUUUCCCAGAUUAAAGUUUAAACAAGUAAUACCAUCAUUCUAAGAAUGAAGUGCUCAAUUAGAAAGUGUUUAAAAUACUUCCAAAACUCAAGAUCCCUUAAAGAAGUCAUCUGAUUGCAUUUCAUAUUUCUCCUACAGCUUUAUCAAGGGACGUUUGCGCAGGCAAGUAUAGUUGCAUUUCUAAGCUGAUAAUGCCACUAAUAUCUGCG